rnacentral:rRNA from 1 species
GUAAAAGAGAACAUUAUUGGCUUUUUAGUUAAUUUUUAUUAUUUAAAUUGCUCUAGUUUUUAGGUGGAAUUUAUAACUAGAUUAUAAUAUUAUUUACUACUAUGAUACUAUGAAACUUAUGAUAAAAACAAGGAUUAGAUACCCUUUUAUUUUAAGUAUUAAUUCUUGCCUGGGUAGUAAUAGUUAUGUUCUUGAAACCCAUAGGAUUUGGCGGUAUUUUAGUCUUUUCAGAGGAACCUGCCCCUUAAUUCGACACUCCACGAUUCAAGCUACUUUUGUUUGUAUAAUCAGUUUGUAUAUCUCCGUCAUAAGAGAGUCUUUUUAGAGUAAAUUUUCUUUUUCUUUAAAUAAGAAUAUGUCAGGUCAAGGUGCAAUUUAUGCAAAAGUGGAGGUGGGUUACAAUAUACCUAUAUAAAUGGAUUAGUAUUUUUGUAAUACUAUGAAGGUGGAUUUGAUAGUAAGGUUAAUUGUUAAUUAUCCUGAUUCUGGCUCUAAAAUAUGCACACAUCGCCCGUCGCUCUCACUUUUAAAGUGAGAUAAGUCGUAACAUAGUAGACGUAUCGGAAGAUGCGCCUAGUAAGAAUUUA